rnacentral:misc_RNA from 1 species
AGGAGGACACUGUGGCGGUGCUGCGUUGCGGACAACAAACAGAGACGCCUUGCGGGUGGCCUGCACACGUAGACUCACACAGGGACUCUUUCUCUCGAUGCGCUGAUGAAGCUGCGCUUGUUUUGCUAGUCUUGUCCCCACCCCCACCCUUCCUCAGGUGCUCAUCAGGCGCACGUGCUCUGCAACUUAUGGAUUGUGGCUGGACUAAAGUCAUCGAUGGCUCGAUAAAAGAGCGAAGCGAACAAGACCGUCACAAAACGGGAUCCAAGCACACCGACACAUAGAAAAGGGCAACGCAAGAACGCUUGAAUGAAUAGUGAACGGUGAGCAGUAGCAGCAGCAGCUGGACGUCGCACUGCACAUACACGUAGGUACACUGGGGCUUUCUUAGUGUUUUGCCACUAUGCGACAUCGUCCUGCGCGCAUCCACAACUUCUACGAAGACGAUGAUGCGGAGUCUGCGACGGUUCCGUCAGGGAAGCAACGACGGUUCGCGCCGUCGCCACGGCCGGUUUCAGCUCCGUCGAGCGCUCCGCAUGCUGGAAGAGCCGCACAGCCUCCCGGCCUCGUCGCCGGCUCGGGAGAGCGUAAUGCCCGCGUCCAGCAAGCGGAACGGAGUGGGUCUUCCUGUAGCAGCAGCAGUAGCUGCAGCAGUGCGUCCAUCGAGCGUGUGAUACACUGCGGCGGGCCCACUUUUCAACCAGGUUUUGCCUCUAAUUCGGCUCACAGCCCUUUCAUCGGUGCAACGUCGGUGUCGCUGCGGCAGCUACAGGAGUCCGUAGAGGAGGCUGUUCGUGAUGUACGCCGGCUGGAUAUGCUGACGCGGAAGGCCGUGUGGCAUGCUCUGACUCGGCAGCCAAGCGCUCGCGACGCGAGGCUCCAUAGGAGGACCACCGCCACAUCGGCGCACAAGGUGUCUCCGGGCGUACGGCGUAGCGCCUCUACUUCUGCAGAGGUGCCCCACGGAGCCGCAGGCUACUCCGAAUCGACAGUAAUCGUGCAUGACAAACCGUUUCUUCCACCCGAUCGCUAUCCCACGACACCAGCGCUGCAGGACACUCCCGAACAUUUUACGCGAAACCUCUUUGGCUCCUUGUUCGCUGCACACCGUGCUGGGCUCUUUGAAAAGCAGCGUGCGUGGAUGCAGCGCCGCCAACCCCACGGCACAACGGAAGCUCCUGCCGUCGCCGAGAUUCCCUCAUCCUCGCCGACCUCGACUCGGCGUACAGCACUGCAGCGGGUCUCCAGCUUGACAAGCUCCGCCACAGUUGCACCCCGGAGCGGCCGAACCACCGCCGCCUCCGGAGGUAGUCGCGUGGGGGCACCGACGGCAGACGCCGUUGACAUCGAGGAAGAGCGUGUGCGAUCGUCUGUGUCGCUCAUCAUUCUCCGCGUCGCGAAGGACCGCGCCAUCGCGACCGUGUUUCUCCGUCAACUGCGCCUCGAGGUGUACACGCGGCGUGCUCUCUGCGAGAAUGUAGACUUGCGCUACAGCUACUACGUCCAGCGUCGCUUGCUGCGACGCUGGAGCGACGCGUCGGUGAUGCAGCGACGCUGGCGCGUCUCUCUGCUGACGAGCAUCAUCUUCCACUGGAAGCGUUUUGUGCAGACGCGAAAAGUGUUACACGCUGUCCUGUCCUCGUGGAGGCGACUUUUGCAGCAGCGAAGUCGCGCGUUCGCCGCGUGUCGGCAAGCACAACGCCAGCGCUGCUUCCAGCAGUGGCUCCGAGCCUUCACCUGGCAUCGUGAACGUGGCGCACUCAAUGAGGCUGCUAGUCAGUUCGCCGCGUCUCGGCAGCGGUGGCGCCACAGCCAAACACUGCUUGAGGCAUGUGGUGGGGAUGCAGAGGUGUUAGCGCUUCUGCAGGGAAGACCACAUGCGUCGGGCACUGGCACCGUGGUGGUGGCCGCGGUUGGACCUCGGCUGCUCCUGCGGCGCCUCUUUUUGGCGUGGAGGCAACGGACGGAGUGGCGGCUGAUGGCGCACUUGGCUGCGUGGCACUACACCCAACAGAUGCGCGCCAAGGUAGCGCGGCGAAUGGGCAGCUGUGCGCGUCGUCUCGCCCUACAGCACUACCGCAGCCGGCCCGAGCAUCAGCGACAGCGCGCUGCACCCGCAGCACAACGCUUAGGCGCAGGCAGUGGCGUCGUGGAGGAGCAAUCGCGAGCCCCACUUCGUGUGUGCAUCGUUCCCGUCGCGCAGAGAGGGCUACUCAAGUACAAGGUCAGCGCAGCGCGCUGCGUUGCGCACGCGGCCCAGCUCCGCAGUUGCUUUGAUUGGUGGCACAUUCGCGCCCGAGCCCGUCGGGCGGAUCGUUUUCAUCUCCAGUGCGUGUACGCGCACGUCGUGUGCCGAUGGCUGCAAGCCCUCGCUGCUCAUCGAGCGCGCCGGCAGCGGAAGUGGCUGGUUCUUUCUCGCUGGGUAGCGGCCACGGAACAUUGCCAGGCGGCUGCAGUGGCGUGGAAGCUGCACGUAUAUCAGUUGGCUCGCCAUGCACUCCGGCUCUGGCGAAGCCGUCUCACAGUGCGUCUGACGCAUCAAGCGCAGCUGCUGCAAGGCUGCUUCGAGCGUUGGAGGGAUCGGGCGCUGCUGCGGCGCGCAACCAGAGCUCUCCAGUGCACGCGGCGGCACGGUUUGCUGCGACAAUGGCACUGCCGUGCACAGGCGCGUGUACAGGUGCGCACAAACCUCUACGUGGCUGACACUAUCAGUGAAACAGCGCUUGUACUCGGCUGCUUUCGGCGGUGGCGUUUUCGCGCUGCGGAGAGGCGUCGCGCUCGCCUCGCGUGGGAUGUUCUGGCGCAGUUGCGGCGGGAGCGGCUGAGCCGGCGCUGCUUCGACGUAUGGCGUAGGCGCACUUUGGCCCCAGAACGGCCAUGGGCAUGGCAUCUCAAAAAGGAACGUUCCUCUCCUCCCAUGUCGCUGCUUGUGUGAGGGAGGGAGGCGAGGAGGGCGUUGUGACCCCGCCGUGCCCUCCACCUCAUCGUAGAUGAGUGCCAGUGCCGCGUUUCCGUGCGCUUGAACGUGCUCCGACCAUCAGGCAGAAGCAACGUACAGAAAACAACGGAGACUCAGGUGCCAAAGAGGUGGGGUCUGCCUAAGAACCGAAUAAUGCCUAAGAGCUUGCCGAUGCACCGCACCUUUUUUUUUUUCGGAAACAUUUCUGCCGUUCUCCACACGCCAUGUAGGUGGGAACUGUGUGGACGUGGCGCGAGUGCCGAAAGGCUGACCGCGUUCGCGUACACCGGUUCGACUGGGCACCAACCUUGUCCCUCAGGUCAGUUUGUCUUCCCUCCAUGCGCUUCUUCAUUGGCCUCUUCCAUUUUUCCGUUUCUGCCGCUCUCCUAUCGACCUCCACCACCCCGUCCCGGCUUCUUCCGCGCCGUACAACGCCAAAAUGCAGUACGUUAUUAUUACAACCAACCACAAGGGCCGCUUGUUCACUGCCCCUCCCCCGUCCCCACCAACGCGCACAAAAGGUGAUAAAGCCUCUAUCUCGAUCCUUCUAGGGGCCAAACAGACUAAUACUAACGUGCUCAGCUGCAGCGCGCUUUUCUUCGUUCAGUGUUGCGCCCAGUGUGCCGUUCGUCUGCAGGUGAAGAGCCAAAGUGCGUACUUCGGUUUUC